UACAGAGGGGGCAAGCGUUGUUCGGAAUUACUGGGCGUAAAGGGCGCGCAGGCGGCUGCUCAAGUCAGGCGUGAAAGGCCUGGGCUCAACCCGGGAAUUGCGCUUGAGACUGGGCUGGCUUGAGUGCGGGAGAGGAUGGUGGAAUUCCCAGUGUAGAGGUGUAAUUCGUAGAUAUUGGGAAGAACACCGGUGGCGAAGGCGGCCAUCUGGACCGCAACUGACGCUGAGGCGCGAAAGCGUGGGGAGCAAACAGG
rnacentral:rRNA from 1 species